GCGACCUCAAAUCAGGUAGGACUACCCGCUGAACUUAAGCAUAUCAAUAAGCGGAGGAAAAGAAACUAACAAGAUUCCCCUAGUAACUGCGAGUGAAGCGGGAAAAGCUCAAAUUAAAAUCUGUCAGUCUUUGGCUGUCCGAG
rnacentral:rRNA from 1 species